CCUACGGGGGGCAGCAGUGGGGAAUAUUUCACAAUGGGGGAAACCCUGAUGGAGCGACGCCGCGUGAGUGAAGAAGGAAUUCGUUAUGUAAAGCUCUAUCAGCAGGGAAGAAAAUGACGGUACUUGAGUAAGAAGCCGCGGCUAACUACGUGCCAGCAGCAGCGGUAAUACGUAGGGGGAAAGCGUUAUCCGGAUUUACUGGGUGUAAAGGGAGCGUAGACGGCGGUGCAAGUCUGGAGUGAAAGGCGGGGGCUCAACCCCCGGACUGCUCUGGAAACUGUGCGGCGGGAGUGCAGGAGGGGGAAGUGGAAUUCCUGGUGUAGCAGUGAAAUGCGUAGAUAUUGGGAGGAACACGAGUGGCGAAGGCGGCUUACUGGACUGUAACUGACGUUGAGGCUCGAAAGCGUGGGGAGCAAAAGGGAUUAGAUACCCCUGUAGUC
rnacentral:rRNA from 1 species